rnacentral:rRNA from 1 species
CCUACGGGUGGCUGCAGUGGGGAAUUUUGCGCAAUGCUCGUAAGAGUGACGCAGCGACGCCGCGUGAAUGACGAAGGCCUUCGGGUCGUAAAGUUCUUUCGACAGGGAAGAAAAUGCCUAUAAGUAACUGUGUAUGUAUUGACGGUACCUGUAUAAGCAGCCCCGGCUAACUCCGUGCCAGCAGCCGCGGUAAUACGGAGGGGGCGAGCGUUGUUCGGAGUGACUGGGCGUAAAGAGCACGUAGGCGGUGUUGUAAGUCAUUAGUCAAAGACUAGAGCUCAACUUUAGUAAGGCUAGUGAUACUAUAAUACUAGAGUAUCAGAGAGGAUUGCAGAAUUCCUGGUGUAGCGGUGAAAUGCGUAGAUAUCAGGAGGAAUACCGUUAGCGAAGGCGGCUUACUGGACUGUAACUGACGUUGAGGCUCGAAAGCGUGGGGAGCAAACAGGAUUAGAUACCCUUGUAGUC